CACGUAGGGUGCGAGCGUUGUCCGGAAUUAUUGGGCGUAAAGAGCUCGUAGGCGGUGUGUCGCGUCGGCCGUGAAAACCUGCAGCUUAACUGUGGGCUUGCGGCCGAUACGGGCAUCACUGGAGUUCGGCAGGGGAGACUGGAAUUCCUGGUGUAGCGGUGAAAUGCGCAGAUAUCAGGAGGGAACAUCGGUGGCGAAGGCGGAUCUCUGGGCCAAUUACUGACGCUGGAGGAGCGAAAAGCGUGGGGAGCGAACAGG
rnacentral:rRNA from 1 species